rnacentral:rRNA from 1 species
AUUGAACGCUGGCGGCAGGCCUAACACAUGCAAGUCGAGCGGAUGAAGGGAGCUUGCUCCUGGAUUCAGCGGCGGACGGGUGAGUAAUGCCUAGGAAUCUGCCUGGUAGUGGGGGAUAACGUCCGGAAACGGGCGCUAAUACCGCAUACGUCCUGAGGGAGAAAGUGGGGGAUCUUCGGACCUCACGCUAUCAGAUGAGCCUAGGUCGGAUUAGCUAGUUGGUGGGGUAAAGGCCUACCAAGGCGACGAUCCGUAACUGGUCUGAGAGGAUGAUCAGUCACACUGGAACUGAGACGCGGUCCAGACUCCUACGGGAGGCAGCAGUGGGGAAUAUUGGACAAUGGGCGAAAGCCUGAUCCAGCCAUGCCGCGUGUGUGAAGAAGGUCUUCGGAUUGUAAAGCACUUUAAGUUGGGAGGAAGGGCAGUAAGUUAAUACCUUGCUGUUUUGACGUUACCAACAGAAUAAGCCCCGGCUAACUUCGUG